rnacentral:rRNA from 1 species
UGUACCGCAAACCGACACAGGUAGGCAGGGUGAGAAUCCCAAGGCGCUUGAGAGAACUCGGGUGAAGGAACUAGGCAAAAUGGCACCGUAACUUCGGGAGAAGGUGCGCCCUUUGGUGUGGUCACGUGCGUGACUGAGCAUCGAAGGGUCGCAGUAACCUGGCCGCUGCGACUGUUUAUCAAAAACACAGCACUCUGCAAACACGAAAGUGGACGUAUAGGGUGUGACGCCUGCCCGGUGCUGGAAGGUUAAUUGAUGGGGUCAGCCGCAAGGCGAAGCUCUUGAUCGAAGCCCCAGUAAACGGCGGCCGUAACAAUAACGGUCCUAAGGUAGCGAAAUUCCUUGUCGGGUAAGUUCCGACCUGCACGAAUGGCGUAACGACAGCGGCGCUGUCUCCACCCGAGACUCAGUGAAAUUGAAAUCGCUGUGAAGAUGCAGCGUUCCCGCGGCAAGACGGAAAGACCCCGUGAACCUUUACUAUAGCUUUACACUGAACGUUGAGUUCUUCUGUGUAGGAUAGGUGGGAGGCUAUGAAACCAGGACGCUAGUUCUGGUGGAGCCAUCCUUGAAAUACCACCCUGAAGUGCUUGACGUUCUAACCUAGGCCCGUAAUCCGGGUCAGGGACCGUGUAUGGUGGGUAGUUUGACUGGGGCGGUCUCCUCCCAAAGAGUAACGGAGGAGCACGAAGGUACGCUCAGCGCGGUCGGACAUCGCGCACUGUGUGCAAAGGCAUAAGCGUGCUUGACUGCGAGAUCGACGGAUCAAGCAGGUACGAAAGUAGGUCUUAGUGAUCCGGUGGUUCUGUAUGGAAGGGCCAUCGCUCAACGGAUAAAAGGUACUCCGGGGAUAACAGGCUGAUACCGCCCAAGAGUUCAUAUCGACGGCGGUGUUUGGCACCUCGAUGUCGGCUCAUCACAUCCUGGGGCUGUAGCCGGUCCCAAGGGUAUGGCUGUUCGCCAUUUAAAGUGGUACGCGAGCUGGGUUCAGAACGUCGUGAGACAGUUCGGUCCCUAUCUGUCGUGGGCGUUGGAGAUUUGAGGGGGGCUGCUCCUAGUACGAGAGGACCGGAGUGGACGUUCCGCUGGUGUUCGGGUUGUCAUGCCCAUGGCAUUGCCCGGUAGCUACGAACGGAAGUGAUAACCGCUGAAAGCAUCUAAGCGGGAAGCACGCCCCAAGAUGAGAUCUCCCGAGAGCUUGACUCUCCUAAAGGCACCAUCAAGACUAGGUGGUUGAUAGGUCAGGUGUGGAAGCGCAGCAAUGCGUUGAGCUAACUGAUACUAAUGAGCCGUGAGGCUUGACC